UACGGAGGGUGCAAGCGUUGUCCGGAUUUAUUGGGCGUAAAGAGCUCGUAGGCGGCUCGGUAAGUCAGGUGUGAAACCUCCAGGCUCAACCUGGAGACGCCACCUGAUACUGCCGUGGCUAGAGUCCGGUAGAGGAGCGUAGAAUUCCUGGUGUAGCGGUGAAAUGCGCAGAUAUCAGGAGGAAUACCAGCGGCGAAGGCGGCGCUCUGGGCCGGUACUGACGCUGAGGAGCGAAAGCGUGGGGAGCAAACAGG
rnacentral:rRNA from 1 species